GAUGAAGAACGCAGCGAAACGCGAUAUGUAAUGUGAAUUGCAGAAUUCAGUGAAUCAUCGAAUCUUUGAACGCACAUGGCGCCUUCCAGUAUCCUGGGAGGCAUGCCUGUCCGAGCGUCGUUUCAACCCUCGAGCCCCCGUGGCCCGGCGUUGGGGAUCUGCCACGGCAGGCCCCUAAAACCAGUGGCGGACCCGAAGGCCCUCUCCUUUGCGCAGUAGCAUCAGCCUCGCAUUGGGAUCCCUCGGCGUCCUGCCUCUAAACCCCCCACAAGUCCGCUCCGGCUGCACCAAGGUUGACCUCGGAUCAGGUAGGAAUACCCGCUGAACUUAAGCAUAUCAAUAAGCGGAGGA
rnacentral:misc_RNA from 1 species